AUUGAACGCUGGCGGCAUGCUUUACACAUGCAAGUCGAACGGCAGCGCGGGCUUCGGCCUGGCGGCGAGUGGCGAACGGGUGAGUAAUGCAUCGGAACGUGCCCAGUAGUGGGGGAUAGCCCGGCGAAAGCCGGAUUAAUACCGCAUACGACCUGAGGGUGAAAGCGGGGGACCGAAAGGCCUCGCGCUAUUGGAGCGGCCGAUGUCGGAUUAGCUAGUUGGUGGGGUAAAGGCUUACCAAGGCGACGAUCCGUAGCUGGUCUGAGAGGACGACCAGCCACACUGGGACUGAGACACGGCCCAGACUCCUACGGGAGGCGGCAGUGGGGAAUUUUGGACAAUGGGGGCAACCCUGAUCCAGCCAUGCCGCGUGCGGGAAGAAGGCCUUCGGGUUGUAAAGCGCUUUUGUUCGGGAAGAAAUGCUCUGGGCUAAUACCCCGGGGGGAUGACGGUACCGGAAGAAUAAGCACCGGCUAACUACGUG
rnacentral:rRNA from 1 species